CUUGGUGGUCAGCUUCAAAUGUCUCGGAGCCUACUAAUCCGUUUGCCAAUUACACUCAUUUAAAGGAGGUAUGGUUUGACUUAUCGGCUACAUCUAGUUGGAAAGCCCCAGCAAAUUUAUACUGGAUUUGUGGUAAGAAAACUUAUUCGGAGUUACCACAAGAUUGGGAAGGGGCAUGUGUAUUAGGUAUGCCAAAGCCAUCCUUCUUCUUGUUGCCAAUCG